rnacentral:rRNA from 1 species
GACGGAGGAUGCAAGUGUUAUCCGGAAUCACUGGGCGUAAAGCGUCUGUAGGUGGUUCGAAAAGUCCACUGUUAAAAAUUGAGGCUUAACUUCAAAGAUGCCGUGGAAACUUUCAAACUAGAGUAUGGUAGGGGUAGAGGGAAUUUCCAGUGGAGCGGUGAAAUGCGUAGAUAUCGCUUGGAACGCCAAAGGUGAAAACAGGUUGCUGGGGUUGUGCCGACGGCUG